rnacentral:rRNA from 1 species
CUUAGCGGCGGACGGGUGAGUAACACGUGGGUAAUCUGCCUUAUACAGGGGGAUAACAGUUAGAAAUGACUGCUAAUACCGCAUAAGCGCACGGGGACGCAUGUUUCUGUGUGAAAAACUCCGGUAGUAUAAGAUGAGCCCGCGUCUGAUUAGCUUGUUGGUGGGGUAACGGCCUACCAAGGCGACGAUCAGUAGCCGGCCUGAGAGGGUGAACGGCCACAUUGGGACUGAGACACGGCCCAAACUCCUACGGAAGGCAGCAG